UGCUUGAACUACCUCUAGUCGUUUUGACUAGAAUACUUUAUGAUUUUUAAUCAAUGAAAAAAAAAAACAGUUACAAAAGGAUAUUAAUAGCAGAAAACUGGAUGAAACUAAACAACAGAGCUACUCAACCACAUCUUAACUUUGAACAAAGACUAGAAGGUAGACAGUAGAGAGGGAAACCAACGAAACAAGCUUAGACCAAGGAAUUGGUAAGGACCGCAAGAACAAAUGGGUCGCAGCGAGAAAGAGAGAGAUGGAUGCCCUCAAACCAUGUUGCAACACCUUCCUACAGCUCCCAUACCGACUACAAAUCACAGACCACCCCAAGAAUUGUCGCAGUUGCUUACUUUCUUCGACUAUUCUGUACCGCCCUUAUGCAGUAAAGAAAGCAAGUGAGGACUCGAAAAAUUGGAGCACAGCUAUAUACUUACUGUGUAGUGCCUGCUUCGUAAUUCUUUGCCCCACUCACACAGAUUUGAUCCUGGCUCAGAAGAUCCGAAUAACCGACGACAAACAAUCGCAACCACAAGCAGACAAACCAACCCGAGAUCCACAGACCCCGGCGACACGAAACAGAGAUACCAUCUGAUGACGCCGUCGUUCGGUCUGAGACUUAGAGAUUACCGCCUCCAAACCUCUUUACUGGCACCGUUACACACGUUGAACCGAAAUCCCAUAUAGAGCAAGCGGACCGGACAAAACCCCCACCUCCACAGCAGCUUCACCGAGAGAGAGAGCAGCCUGAGCGCCCAACUGGAGACAUGUCUCCAACCAACCCAAGGCUUCACUGCUUCGACGACAGCUAAGAUGCGCUGAGAAACAGCAAGGAGCGAAGGACAGCGACAGUGAUGCCACACCGUCGAAACAUUUCAACCUUGAGGAGAGCGGACCCGCAAGACACUUCAAAGAGGCAGAGCCAACAUGCCUCCACGCGCCGCCACCGGAACUAACUCGGAGGAGAAGAGAAAACCCACACUGACAAAGAGCUCCAUGCGUGACCACCUCAGGCCACCGGUGGCAAAAAGCUGAAAAAGAACAUCUGAGUUAAUGAAAACCAGAUCUGAGACCUUGAGGGUCUCACCGACAGACCACGCGCUGCUACCCGAGAAGAACGCCGAGAUCUGAGAAAAAAAUAUUUCCGACCAAAAACACCAAACAAAUCUGGAAGAAACCGCGGAUAAGGGAACACACCGUCAUCUAGCACCUCUGUCCCCGCAAGAAACAACACAGAUCUACUUCUGAUGCCUCAGAUCUGCACCAGGAGAGAGACCUCAACGCUUCACCUCCGCCACAACGACAAGAAAGCCACAUAGAAAAACAUAAAAAAGCGGAGAAAAGGGAAAACAGAGGGGGGCUUCCGACGACUGCAAAGAAGGACACGGCGGUCACCGGAGCCAAGUGAUUCAUGAUCAAGAGCAUCUCCAUCCCCGCUCCAUAAAUUACUGCAAAAUGGAGUGGUAAAUGGAGUGAUGAACAAUCAAAAAACCUAUUAGUCCAUUGCAUAAAUUAUGGAGUGAGGUUGGAGAUGUUCUAAAAGACGAAGCUUUAGAGAGAAUGGGAAAGGAAAUAUUUAAAGAGAGAGAGAGGAGCUUUUGGGUCAAGUGACUUAUAUAUGGUUGUAAAUAGGGUGAGGUUCUUAGCGAAAUAUAAGAAACCGUCUCUUAACUUUUAACUAAAAAAGUUAAGAACCAGCUCUUAAAUAUUUUAUUUAAGAGCCGGUUCUUAGAUUUUUAAUUAAAGUUUAAGAUACGGUUUCUUAUAUUCCGAUAAGAACCUCUUAUCGUAUCUAUACAAUCUUGCACUUCUCGACAAAUCUAAUAUCUUUCGUUAUUCUAAGUGGUUAUUCCUUUUGGGGUAAGGAAAAACGUUUUAUU